UGCUCCAUGACAGCUGUCUCUACACUGGCUCUUAAACACAAAACUCUACAUCCCACUCUCACUCCACUUUCUUCUUCCCAUUCCACUCCCCUGAAUCCACUUGCUUGCAUUCCUCUCUCUUUUUCUCUCUGUUCGAGGCAUGCCGAAGUCAAUUUUUCAUUUCGAAGAGAGAACUGCCAACUUUCAAGGUCUACGGAAUCCAAAAGAUCACAACAGAUUUGCUUUCAUCCGUGGGUAGUUGCAAAAGAAUCUCAAGACUUCAUCAGUCCAGGAAGGGUCCACACUGGAUCAGAUGCUGCUGCCGUCUUCCAUGAAGUGUCACACAGGGCAGUUGAGCCACGCCGUUGUCGUGCUCUGCACAGGUGGCCGACCAGCUCUGUUAGGAGGAGCCACCAAGCACCCCAGGCCGACAGGAUAUGGACGGAAGCUCCGCCCGCCUGGACUGCUACUUGGAGCUGCUGCUUUGACCUUUGUUCGCCCUUUUAUCCCAGUCCAGCCAACUUGUCUCUAUCCCUGACCAGUUCUGCUCGGCUGUUUUAGUUCUCAUAUGCAUCGUUAAAACCCAACCCUGAGCCACUCUUUGUGUCUGUAAGGCAUCUCAGCUGGAUCACGGGACAACGGGGAGCAGUCAGCCAGGUUUGCUAUUCUGGGCUCUUCCCAUUUCUCUGCCAAGACUUUAUGCGUCAAAUAAAAGCCCCUUAUUUCUUGAA